AUCACUUCUCAGCCUUCUGGCUAAGAUCAAGUGUAGUAUGUUACACAUCGGCUAAGAGCAAUUCUUUUUCCUCCAUCUUCCAAAUCUGUGUAUGUUUUAAUUGGGGGAAGAAAGCAUUUUCAAAAGAGCAUAAUGUGUUUACAAAUAGGGAUCACUCUGUGUUCUACCCUUG
ensembl:snRNA U2 U2 spliceosomal RNA